CACAUACAUAUCAGUGUACCCUACAGGUGCCAUUGCUGAGACGAGGAAACUGAGACCAGUCCUGAGAUGAAAAUGUUAUAUAAGUACAGCCUCCAAGGACUGUCUGGAAAUCCCCCUAAAGUGCUAUGAACUAUGGAAUGGGAGAAGUUCACAGAUGGCUGGGAUGAACGCCAGGGACCAAAAGGGCCCACCUUCUCAGCAGCUAACCAGGAAAAUACUUCUUUAGACCCAUUAGUCAACUGUUGCAUGUUACCAGCAAGUUGAGUGUGACCCCUGAGUAAUUGCACAAAAAGAUAAACAAGUUGGAGGCUUGCCUUGGGCAGGGAGGAUGCAUAGAUGAUAACGGCACUCUACAGAAGGAAAAUAGAGGAAGGAAGACUGCAUCAGCUGUAGCUGUAAGGACUGAGCUGAGGUGGUAUAAAAUUUUUUUCAAUAUACUCUGUACAAAAUCACAAAAUCACAGAAUGGCCAAGGUUGGAAGGG